rnacentral:rRNA from 1 species
ACUUUAACUCCCAAAAUACCAUUAAUUUUUAUGAACCCCUAAUUUAUAAUGAAUGACUCCAUAUUUAUAUGGAAGACACCAUGCUAGGAUUAGUAACAAGAAUUUAUAAUUCUCCAAAAUGCAAAUAUAAACCAACAUGGAUAGACCAUUGGUAGUUACCGAACCUAAAUUCAAUGCAAUAACAUCCACAAGAAAACUCUGCAGUACUCACUCGUUAACCUAACACCAGCGCAUUACAGGAAAGAUUUAAAAAAAGAGAAGGAAUUCGGCAAAUGACGGCCCCGCCUGUUUACCAAAAACAUCGCCUCUUGACUUAUAAUAAGAGGUCCAGCCUGCCCAGUGAAUUUUAAACGGCCGCGGUAUCCUAACCGCGCGAAGGUAGCAUAAUCACUUGUUCUUUAAAUGGGGACUUGUAUCAACGGCAUCACGAGGGUUUUACUGUCUCCUCUUUUUGAUCAGUGAAAUUGAUCUUCCCGUGAAGAAGCGGGAAUAUUUUUAUAAGACGAGAAGACCCCAUGGAGCUUUAAACCAAAUAACAACUUAACCACUUAUCCCAUAAUAAAUUUAAGCCCUGUUAUAAGGUUUUUGGUUGGGGUGACCGCGGAGUAAAGCACAUCCUCCACGACGGAAAGAACAGAAUCUUUAUUUAAGAACCACACUUCUAGAAAUUAGUAUACUAACGUUUACUGACCCGACAAUCGAUCAACGGACCAAGUUACCCUGGGGAUAACAGCGCAAUCUACUUCAAGAGCUCAUAUCGACAAGUAGGCUUACGACCUCGAUGUUGGAUCAGGGUAUCCCGGUGGUGCAGCCGCUACCGAAGGUUCGUUUGUUCAACGAUUAAAACCCUACGUGA